rnacentral:lncRNA from 1 species
CAAUCGAUGAAAUAGUCAAAAGGACUUAUUGGGAUGCAGAUUACUACAGCCACUCUCAUCAUUUUUAUAGUUUCUUGUUUUAUGAGGGAAUUCCUCUGUCAUGAUGAGAUUCAAUGUCAGGAGAUCCUUGAGGAAGUCGAAGCUAAGUGCGGCAAGAAAAGGUAAUUUAGAGUUGUAGCUUUCAUUUCCCAGAUGGUGGGUGAUUUUUAGAUCUUACUUGGGCACCUUCUUAAAAUCUCCUUCCUAACCAUCUGUUGUUUUCAUGUCUAUCGUAUUUUGGUUAUUUGGAGUUUCUACCGUGUUGUGUUUUGAUUUCAAGGACGAAAUCUCUUAAAGGAGGGGAGUGUUGUAACAUCCCAAUCGCAUUAACUUAAUUUUCCUCUAAUUUAUAUAUGAGAUACGUAUGAUGAAGAUCCUGCUUGGUAUAAUGUUUAAUGUUAAACUCACGAGAUUGAGGAAUUUAGUUGAAAUCGUCAAAAUGAUAAAUCUAACUGGUUAAUUAGUAUAAAAACCGAGUUUAAUGUUUAUGAAGGUUCCUAUGUAGAUUGAAUCAUGAAAUCAUAUGUGGCAGAUUGGUCUACAGGCUUGCCUCAUAUUUAGUAGGCCCAAGUUCAAAUCCCAACACUGGCCUUUUAUUUAUGAUUUUAUGUUUGAGUGAAACGACGUCAUUUUGGUCAACUGAACGAACAGCUUCUUCUCCGACCUUUGAUCCCCACCGACGCCCUCAUUUGUUUCUCCAGCGACACCUUUAACUACACUAAUUGUUGAUUCUGGCUCCAUUUACAUAAUCAAAUUCCAUCAUAACACACUAAUCCAUAACAGUAGUCAUUUCCAAAUGACUGUCCAUCUUCAUAAUGCAAUGAAUCGACCAAGUCGUCGAAUCGGUGGUCUUGACGUUGGACGUCAUUUUGUGCCGGCCAGUGAUAUUGGUAGAACAACAACACGAGUUUGUUGUCCAUCUGUCUUACGAGCAGUCUCCUACCUGUAUUUAAAUCCACUUGAACCUUAUUGGAUGAAAAAACACCCAGAAAGAAAACUUCUAGUUCCUAAGUCAUUCUCCGACGAGAUUAACGGCUAACGAGGAACUUAAUGAUCUAGGCAACUCUGUUAUGGUUUCUUCAUCUUUUUUUAUGACACUUCCGAUGGGAGUUGCGUCGAGGACUUCUAGACGUGCCCAUGGUUCCUAACGCAUCUUGCUAGAUUCGUGACGAUUAUAGGAAGCUUCCCGUGUCAUUAUUUGCUGAUUUCAAGCUAAGUUCAUGACCAUUGAAGCUCACUAGAUGGGUGUUUCACCGGAAACCGUCUAUGUACUUAAGGAAGAUUAUGGUAAAAUUCCUUUUUAGUACCCUAAAUUUAUUUUCCAAUUUAUUUCUCCUAGUUUUGGUAAUCUCCCGCGUAACCCGUAAGUUUUAAAUAUGGACAGCCGUAGCCCAGGAACUUUCUAGCCAUUACAGUUUAGCCCGGACAGUUAUGAAAGGGAUGUAAUUGACCGAUUCUUGGACCGUGGAUAUAUAUUUCGAACUGAAAAUGAUUCACCCAAGAUGGGUUGGUUAAAGGGGUAAAUUCCAUCGUAAUAAUUGAUUGAAUGAUUGAUUUUCCUAAUAUGCUUUCUUUGACAUGCAUACCAAGUAAAGUGGAUUUGUGAUAAAGUGGCAAUGUUACAAGGUCAAGUGUUCAUGAUUUAUUUACCAUUGGUUGUGAUAAAUGUGAUGGUGUACCUAAUUGGUAUGAUAUGUGUUUUAUGAUUUGUUAUUCAAUCAUUACUCAUAUGGUCACAAAUAUAUGUUAAUGGUGUAGUAAUGAGAAUUAUUUGAUCACCUAGAUUAGGGCUCCUAUGCUGGUGAUCUACGUAUGUGCUUAUUGCACUACUGCUACGUGUCAAUGGCCCCGAAUGGGUGCGAAAAUGGGCCCUUAAUGGUGCCACCAAUGAUAAGUGAAAUGGGCAUGAAUUGUGCCACCAAUGAUAAGUGAAAUGUGCAUGAAUUGUACUAUCAAUGAUAUGUUAAUACAUGGGAAUUGUCAGCAUACGUGAGCCAGGAAUCCCAACUAAAAUAUGAAAAGAGUCCGAGUCAUAUUGCUUAUAUGUUUGGUGAUUGUAAUCUUUAUUGCGAUUUAUGAGGACUGACCCUGAGCCACCCACCAGAUGUUUAUAGGUUAACAGGGAAUUGCUAUGAUCGAUCGUCGGAGUUUCUAUGGCCAAGCUAAUGUUAACAAGGGCAAUGAGAUUGGGUGAUUUGGAGCUUGGUUCCGACAUUGAUUUAAAUGCAUGUGAGAGACAGCUUCCAAAAUAAGUAUUCAUGGUGUAUUUAAAUGUUUCUUCUUGUUUUGGUAAAAGAUGGCUAUUUAUAUUUGAAUUGAAGGAGUAACUACCCCUUGCAAAGUCAAGAGUCCAUUCCGAGACAAUUUUUUUAUCUUUAUUUAUCUGUUAUAAGAGUUGGGAUGUUAUAGAAGUAAUUGAACAUAAACCCCCACCUCGAAUCGCUUUCCUAAAGGGUAUGAACUGAGGGAGCCGUCCAAGUGCUUA